UCUUGGAUAGUACAAUGGUUAGUAUAUCACCCAGUCACGGUGAUGAUCGCGUGUUCGAUUCCGCGUCCAAGAG